rnacentral:rRNA from 1 species
UACGUAGGCAGCGAGCGUUGUUCGGAGUUACUGGGCGUAAAGGGUGUGUAGGCGGUUGUUUAAGUUUGGUGUGAAAUCUCCCGGCUCAACUGGGAGGGUGCGCCGAAUACUGAAUGACUCGAGUGUGGGAGAGGUGAGUGGAAUUCCGUGGUGUAGCGGUGAAAUGCGUAGAUAUCAGGAGGAACACCGGUGGUGUAGACGGCUCACUGGACCAUAACUGACGCUGAGACACGAAAGCGUGGGUAGCAAACAGG